GCUUAAUACAUGCAAGUCGACUUGCUUUGAUUAGCAAUAGUCAAAAGAGAGUGGCGCACGGGUGAGUAACACGUAGAUAAUCUACCCUCAGGACUGACAUAAUGUAGAGAAAUCUGCACUAAUAUCAGAUGAAACAAAAUCCUGGCAUCAGAGAUUUUGUCAAAGUUUUAACGCCUGAAGAUGAGUCUGCGGUCCAUUAGGUAGUUGGCGGUUUAACAGACCACCAAGCCGACGAUGGAUAGCUGGUCUGAGAGGAUGAUCAGCCACACUGGAACUGAGACACGGUCCAGACUCCUACGGGAGGCAGCAGUAAGGAAUAUUGCUCAAUGGGAGAAAUCCUGAAGCAGCAACGCCGCGUGGAGGAUGAAGGGCUUUCAGCUUGUAAACUCCUGUAAAGAAGGAAAAAAUUCCCAUUAGAUGGGAGAUGAUGGUACUUCUAAAGUAAGCCCCGGCUAACUACGUG
rnacentral:rRNA from 1 species